AUUGAACGCUGGCGGUAUGCUUAACACAUGCAAGUCGAACGGUAACAGGUCUAGCUUGCUAGAUGCUGACGAGUGGCGGACGGGUGAGUAACGCGUAGGGAUCUGUCUAGGGGUGUGGGACAACUCGGGGAAACUCGAGCUAAUACCACAUACGUUUUAGAUGUAAAGUUUAAAGAAAGGCGGGUAGCAAUACCUGUUGCUCUUAGGUGAACCUGCGUUGGAUUAGCUAGUUGGUGGGGUAAAGGCCUACCAAGGCGACGAUCCAUAGCUGUUCUGAGAGGAAGAUCAGCCACACUGGGACUGAGACACGGCCCAGACUCCUACGGGAGGCAGCAGUGGGGAAUAUUGGACAAUGGGCGGAAGCCUGAUCCAGCAAUACCGCGUGUGUGAAGAAGGCCUGUGGGUUGUAAAGCACUUUCAGCGAGGAGGAAGGUUGUAUGGUUAAUACCCAUGCGAUUUGACGUUACUCGCAGAAGAAGCACCGG
rnacentral:rRNA from 1 species